AACUUGUUACAAUGUAUCUCUUGGUUCUGGCAUCGAUUAAGAACGCAGCGAAAUGGGAUAAGUAAUGCGAAUUGCAGAAUACCAGUGAGUCAUAGAAUCUUUGAACGCACAUUGCGCCCUUUAGUAUUCAGAAGGGCAUGCCUGUUCGAGCGUCAUUAUCACCCCUCAAGCCCCGCGCUUGGUGUUGGACGGCCGGUCGAGCGAUCGACCCCUCCUAAAGACAAUGACGGCGGCCUGUGGUUCCCCCGGUACACUGAGCUUUUCAUUGAGCACGUAUCGGACAAGGGCACCCGGGACCCGGUCCUCUCCUUUAACUAGGAAACUUCUAAGGUUGACCUCGGAUCAGGUAGGAAUACGCGCUGAACUUAAGCAUAUCAAUAAGCGGACGCU
rnacentral:misc_RNA from 1 species